UGCAAAAUAAUUAUUAUUUUAAUUUAUUCUUUCUGAAAACUUUUCAGAAGAGAACUCAAGAAAGUUAAAGAGAAUCAUGAAUGUACUUGGAAAAUGCUAGUCUGAUUUGUGAAUGUUUCUGCUCCCGCAGACCUCUGUUUACUGAACUGCAUCCAGCCCCAAUGAGCUUGGAGUGGAAGUGUGCCGGUUCAUUUGCCAGUUCCCAGGGCAGAGUGAAGAAAAUGGGCAUCAAUUUAGAUUGUCUCUGCCAGGAAACAUGUAAUAAUGCUGUCAUUCUUAUGAAAACUCUGCAACAGCAGGCUCAGACAGCUACAAGGUAAAGCACAUGCAUGGAUUUGUCAUCCUGCCUUACUUUUAAACAACAUUAGCUUCUUUGUCAAUUGUGAAAAAAACAAGGGGGAAAACCCCUUGGAGGUGUGCCACACAUUUAUUUGUUCCUGAGCUCUUAUAGCAAUGUUGGCUGCAAAACAAUCUUUUUUUUUUUUUUUUUUUUUUUUUUUCAAAAAAGAAAGUUGAGCAUCUGUGCAACUUGUUCUGAAAAGUCAACAGACAUGUUUGACAAAUGCAUUUUCUUGACACCUGUUGACUUGUGACAUCCAAGGACAGCAGGAUGCAUGUGACCGUGUAAAUCCGAUGUUCAUGACAGGUCAUGAGUGCUACUACCUGUCCCCUCCAGCUCCACUUCUGGUAUGAAGAAGCCAUUCAGUAUGGCUGUGAUGUAUGGACUGGAGGUGCCCUGCUACAGUACUCGUUGUGUAGCAAAUUCCAGUGACUAGGUUGGCAGAAGCCUCCUUUUGCUCUUCUGCAUUAAUUUUAACUAUUGCCUCUCUAUUUAAAUCAGUGACUCCGUAUGACUGGUUCUUUCAUGGACUCUUUACAUAUUUCAGGGUACCUAGAACCCACUGAGCAACUGGAACAAAUCAAAACUCUCCAAGCCUGUCUUCCUUCACCUAUGCUUCCAUAGAAAAUCAUCCUUCAGCACGGCUGCACAGGCAGCUUCUUUAGAUUACAUUUUCCCUGAGCCAGAACAUAAUAAAUGCAAUGAGUCUGACCA
rnacentral:lncRNA from 1 species